rnacentral:rRNA from 1 species
AUUGAACGCUGGCGGAAUGCUUUACACAUGCAAGUCGAGCGGCAGCGCGGGGGCAACCCUGGCGGCGAGCGGCGAACGGGUGAGUAACAUAUCGGAACGUACCCCGUCGUGGGGGAGUAACACAGCGAAAGCUGUGCUAAUACCGCAUACGACCUGAGGGUGAAAGCGGGGGAUCGCAAGACCUCGCGCGAUGGGAGCGGCCGAUAUCGGAUUAGCUUGUUGGUGAGGUAAAGGCUCACCAAGGCGACGAUCCGUAGCUGGUCUGAGAGGACGACCAGCCACACUGGAACUGAGACACGGUCCAGACUCCUACGGGAGGGCAGCAGUGGGGAAGUUUUGGUACAAAUGGGGGGCGAACCCCUGAUCCAGCCAUUCCGCGUGAGUGAAGAAGGCCUUCGGUUGGU